UUGAUCAAGCUACAAAGAGCGCAUCAUGGAUGCCUUGGUGCCAAUAGGCGAUGAAGGACGUGGUAAGCUGCGAUAAGCUACGGUGAGCGGCAAACACGCUUUGACCCGUAGAUUUCCGAAUGGGGUAACCUGAGCGAGAUAACACUUGCUCGAGUUUCUGUGAAUCCAUAGCAGGAACAUCGCGACCACCCGGCGAAGUGAAACAUCUCAGUAACCGGAGGAAAAGAAAUCGAAGAGAUUCCGUCAGUAGUGGCGAGCGAAAGCGGAACAGGCUAAAUCCAGCCCCACUUUGUCGACAGGACCGAUGAGGUUAUUGUCGAUCUAGUGGGCAAAGUGGGGCUGGAGGUUGUAGGAGCCCGACGUGGUAGUGCAAAGGUUAGGUGAAGCUUCUGGAAAGCUGCGCCAUAGAGGGUGACAGGCCCGUAACCGAAAACCCGAGCACGCCUAGGGAUUUCCUGAGUAAUACGAUGCACGUGAAACUUCGUAUGAAUCUGCG
rnacentral:rRNA from 1 species